UACGUAGGGUGCAAGCGUUAAUCGGAAUUACUGGGCGUAAAGCGUGCGCAGGCGGUUGUGCAAGACAGAUGUGAAAUCCCCGGGCUCAACCUGGGAACUGCAUUUGUGACUGCAUAGCUAGAGUGCGGCAGAGGGGGAUGGAAUUCCGCGUGUAGCAGUGAAAUGCGUAGAUAUGCGGAGGAACACCGAUGGCGAAGGCAAUCCCCUGGGCCUGCACUGACGCUCAUGCACGGAAAGCGUGGGGAGCAAACAGG
rnacentral:rRNA from 1 species